rnacentral:rRNA from 1 species
GUCUACGGCCAUACCACCCUGAACAUGCCAAUCUCGUCUGAUCUCAGAAGCUAAGCAGGGUCGGGCCUGGUUAGUACUUAGAUGGGAGAUAAGAUUACAAGUGUAGGGCCACAGAGG